rnacentral:pre_miRNA from 9 species
UCACGAUAGCGUAAAAGUUAACUCAAAGUUGUAUGGAAUUGGAAUGUUUGCCGCUAGGGGCGCUGUUCCAACUGCAUACAAAUUUGAGUUAACUUUUACGCUAUCGA